rnacentral:rRNA from 1 species
GAUGAACGCUGGCGGCGUGCCUAAUACAUGCAAGUCGAGCGAACAGACGAGGAGCUUGCUCCUCUGACGUUAGCGGCGGACGGGUGAGUAACACGUGGAUAACCUACCUAUAAGACUGGGAUAACUUCGGGAAACCGGAGCUAAUACCGGAUAAUAUAUUGAACCGCAUGGUUCAAUAGUGAAAGACGGUUUUGCUGUCACUUAUAGAUGGAUCCGCGCCGCAUUAGCUAGUUGGUAAGGUAACGGCUUACCAAGGCAACGAUGCGUAGCCGAACUGAGAGGGUGAUCGGCCACACGGGAACUGAGACACGGUCCAGACUCCUACGAGAGGCAGCAGUAGGGAAUCUUCCGCAAUGGGCGAAAGCUUGACGGAGCAACGCCGCGUGAGUGAUGAAGGUCUUCGGAUCGUAAAACUCUGUUAUUAGGGAAGAACAAAUGUGUAAGUAACUAUGCACGUCUUGACGGUACCUAAUCAGAAAGCCACGGCUAACUACGUG